CAGAAAAUAGUUUAAUAAAAUAUUAAUUUUGGAGAUUAAAGAUAUAAAGAUUUUAUUUUUCUGA
rnacentral:tRNA from 1 species